rnacentral:rRNA from 1 species
UACGUAGGGGGCAAGCGUUGUCCGGAUUUAUUGGGCGUAAAGAGCGUGUAGGCGGCUUGGUAGGUCCGCUGUGAAAACUCGAGGCUCAACCUCGAGAUGUCGGCGGAAACCACUUGGCUAGAGUCCGGAAGAGGAGAGUGGAAUUCCUGGUGUAGCGGUGAAAUGCGCAGAUAUCAGGAGGAACACCAGUAGCGAAGGCGGCUCGCUGGGCCACACCUGACGCUGAGACGCGAAAGCUAGGGGAGCGAACAGG